rnacentral:tRNA from 1 species
UUCCAGUGAGUUCUGUUGGUAGAGCAUGUGACUCUUACUCUCAGGGUUGUGGGUUUGAACCCCAUAUUGGGUG